rnacentral:rRNA from 1 species
AUUGAACGCUGGCGGCAGGCCUAACACAUGCAAGUCGAACGAGUGGCGGACGGGUGAGUAAUGUCUGGGAAACUGCCUGAUGGAGGGGGAUAACUACGGGAAACGGUAGCUAAUACCGCAUACAAUCAGAUGUGCCCAGUGGGGAUUAGCUAGUUGGUGGGGUAACGGCUCACAAAGGCGACGAUCCAUAGCUGGUCUGAGAGGAGGACCAGCCACACUGGAACUGGUACACGGUCCAGACGCCUACGGGAGGCAGCAGUGGGGAAUAUUGGCGAAUGGGCGCAAGCCUGAUGCAGCCAUGCCGCGUGUAUGAAGAAGGCAUUCGGGUUGUAAAGUACUUUCAGCGGGGAGGCGUUACCCGCAGAAGAAGCACCGGCUAACUCCGUGCCAGCAGCCGCGGUAAUAC